GAAAAAGUGGAUCUUUACCCCGCAGAUAAUAAAGCCCCGGUCUAACUUCUGUGCCCAAGCAGCCGGUGUAAAUACAGAGGGGCGCAAGCGUUAUUCGGAUUUACUGGGGCGUAAAGCGCGGCGAGGGCGGCUAUAUAAGUCAAAGUGAAAAUCCCCGAGCUAACUUGGGAAUUGCAUUCGAUACUGGUUAGCUAGAGUGUGGGAGAGGAUGGUAGAAUUUCCAGGUGUAGCGGUAAAAUGCGUAGAGAUCUGGGAGGAAUCCCGAUGGCGAAGGCAGCCAUUUGGCCUUAACACUGACGCUGAGGUGCGAAAGCAUGGGGACCAAACAGGAUUAGAUACCCUUGUUGUCCAUGCCGUAAACGAUGUCUACUAGCCGUUGGGGCCUUGGGGGGGGGGGGUGGCGCAGCUAACGCGAUAAGUAGACCGCCUGGGGAGUACGGUCGCAAGACUAAAACUCAAAUAAAUUGACGGGGGCCCGCACAAGCGGUGGAGCAUGUGGUUUAAUUCGAUGCAACGCGAAGAACCUUACCUGGCCUUGACAUAGUAAGAACUUUCCAGAGAUGGAUUGGUGCCUUCGGGAACUUACAUACAGGUGCUGCAUGGCUGUCGUCAGCUCGUGUCGUGAGAUGUUGGGUUAAGUCCCGCAACGAGCGCAACCCUUUUCCUUAUUUGCCAGCGAGUAAUGUCGGGAACUUUAAGUAUUUUUGUCAAAAACAAACUGGAGGAAGGCGGGGACGACGUCAAGUCAUCAUGGCCCUUACGGCCAGGGCUACACACGUGCUACAAUAAUCGGUACAAAGGGUUGCUACCUAGCGAUAGGAUGCUAAUCUCAAAAACCCGAUCGUAGUCCGGAUUGAAGUCAUGCAACUCGACUCCAUGAAGUCGAUCGCUAGAAAGCAUAAGGC
rnacentral:rRNA from 1 species